GGGAGGGGUUCAGCAGCUGAAAUUGCGCAUGCUCCGUGUGAGCCGAGGUGGGGGUGGGAGAAUAAAGCUGUUGCUGCUUCCGUGUAACCUGAGUGAGCGGUGCUGCUGACUGAGGUUCUCCCUCCACUGGCUCUGCUGGUCCGCCUCGGCUCUGGAGCAGCCCAUAAGUUCAGCAAACAUCUCGUCCCUUGUCUUUUUCUUACGCCUUCUAGUUUGCGCCAUCAUCUGUGAGGGGCAUGGUGCAUCAGGUCGUGAUACAGUUGCACCUGUGUGAUGUCAAAAAGGAGUGUGCGAGAGAGAUCACCCUGAGGAGAGUCUCACGGGCAGAGAGAGCGCGCAUGCUGGAAGAAAGCCACCACCACCCAGGGGCCUACUCUGCCAUGCUCGUGAGGGCAAUGGUCCCGGAGUUCCAGCUUGUAGCAUGGAAAGGCAAAGUGUGCUACCUCGGGGCACACGAUAAGCUAGUUCUGCCAAGGAACCUCCUGCAUAGACUUUCAGAUUACCUCCAGGAGAGUUUCCUGGAGAUAUCUUAUGAAGAUAAAAGUUCCAUCCCCCUGUAUGUAGACCUUCUGUUCUCCUAAUGUCUCUCCCUGUUUAAUUACUAAAAAAAUGUUAACUCGUUGGUCUUAGCUGCUUUUAAUAAAUAAAUGUUAACUUGUUUAAAGCA